ensembl:lncRNA
CGCAGAUGUGGCUUGGAUCCUGUAUUGCUGUGGUUGUGGCGUAGGUUGGCAGCUACAGCUCUGAAUCAACCCCUAGCCCGCAAACUCCCAUAUACUGCAGGUGUGGCCCUUAAAAGAAAAAAGAAAGAAAGAAAGAUUAAUCCAAUGUGGAUUAGGAAUCAAAGAAUUUCUGUCUAAUAUGACAUACCUGCCUUAUAGUCAUUCGUCUUUCUAUCCCCAGAUUCAGCACAGGAAGUUGGUGGAUGUAAGACCUCUGAUCAGUCAUCUUUCUGGAGUUUGGACAAAUACGAAACUCUUACCUCAAUUGCAUUCUCAUUACUUUAGGUCCCUAGACUCCAAAGGAAGCGGAGGGAGUCUAAGCUAUUUAGUGGUUUGAUUCCAUCCCAGCCCUUACCAUGAGGGAUCCAUAAUUCAUUUCACCAGAGGAAUAGCCCCAUAUACUGUAGCCCUGGCUCCCAGUGCUGAGAAUCUAUUUAUGGAUUAGCAAAUGCAUUAGUCUUACAUGUUAGUACUUGCCUCGUAGUUUAGCCCUGUUAGAAAUUGGAUGGAAGUAUUUUAAAAAAAGGGCUUUGUGUCAGAACAGUUUACUUCCCCUCUUCUCUGAUGGACAAAGCCAUGGCCAGAGGCAGUCCGCUCAUUCCACUCAUUGUUAAUAUUUGCACAGAUGGUACGUACCCAGUUUCAUUACAGAAGCUUCCGGUGCUUUAAAACAAGUGAGCAUUUGUGGCUCCCCUUUAGCUGGUGGGACUAAGAGAGUCCAGAGAGGUGAGGUGACAUCUGCCUCACCACGCAUCUCUUGGGACACAGCUGCAACUCUCUCUCUCUCUGCAGGGGUCUCUGGCUCCAAACUCAUUGACAUGAUGUUGGUGGUGCUUCAGAAGAACACCUUAGGUUUUAUGUAGUGUCUUUCCUGGCCGGGGAAUUCGUUUUGAUACGUCCCCUCUGCAACUUCCAGAUGCCUUCGUGAAGGAAGGAAAUGUAAAAAUACAGUUGUUGUAAGGACAGAGUUCCCCCUUCAUUAUUGGACCCCCGUCAAGCCAUUCAUCCUGUCAUCUUCUUGCUGUCUAGAAAUAGCCUUGGGAGGCGUUUUCAUUGUGGCCCGCUGGGUUAGGAACCCAAUCAUAUCUAUGAAGAUGUGGGUUUGAUUCCUGGCCUCAAUCAGUAGGUUAAGGAUCCAGCAUUCCAGUGAGCUGGGGUGUAGGUCAAAGACGUGGCUUGGACCUGGUGUUGCUGUGGCUGUGGUGUAGGCCGGUAGCUGCAGCUCUGAUUCAUCCCCUAGCUUGGGAACCUCCAUGUGCUGAAGGUUCGGCCCUAAAAAGAAUACAAAUGGAAAUAGGUAUGGGGCCAGCUUUUUGUCACCAUUGCGUAUUGUCAUCAGCCCUGUUGAUAAACUAAGCAAGGUUACUGUGCAGUAGCCCUGAGAGCACCUUCUUUGUCCUCUGGAACAUCUGCAGUUCCCUGUCUGGGGGCUAAGAUGAAGUUCAGAGGUCAGAGAUCUAGCAAGUUACCAGGGGGGAUUCCAGAUUUUCAGAUGGGAGGGAAGUGGGGCCUGCCAUUCUUUUCUCCCCUCCACUGUUAUCCCCACACAUAUUUAACUCUGGAUUAGUACUUGAUGAGGGCAGGUGAAGUGCUUUGGCCCAGGGAGUGAGGAAACCGGGAUGCCCUGAUCCCUGUCCAUUGCUGCUGUGUUCUGCCUUCCUCCAUCCUAGCCUUCUUGGCUUCCCCGUCCACACACACCUCCUGGAGCAAUGCCUUCAUUUGCAGUUUUGGACACCUGACUAUUCUGUCCACAGCAUCUCAUCUUUUCUGUGCGUGUUGCACUUGCUCUUUUCCUUGGCUAACCUGCAUGGAAUUCUCAUAAUUCCAAUCAGCAGAAGUACAAUGUGUAUUUCCUUGGCUAACGGUAUAUGCUAAGCCUGGUGAGGAUAAUGAAGGAGGGAAGCUGAUUUUUUUUUUCUUGUUUUAGCAAGGAGCAUCUAAUUGGUCUUUUGAGGGUGAUGCUCCAGUGCCUUUUAGGACUUCAGUAUGACCGAGCCGUCUUUGCACUGCCUGCCUCCUUCAGAUGUCCUGCUUCAGGUGGACUAUGCUCUGAGCUACAAGAAGUCUGGUGCUCACAGAGUUAAAAUCUUCCCAUGUCCCCCAGUCGUGAUCCUCUGCAUCCUCAACCCAGGGUGGGGCUAAGGGUCUUGCCCUUGUCACUCUUCCUGAGGACAGGAGGGGAGGAAGAGAUUAAUCCAACUGUGAAUUCAGUGUCCCAGAAACGAGAAGCCCAAAUCCCUUUUAGCACCCUGACCCACCCACAUCAUCUGUGAGUCACCUGCAGUGCUUGCUAACAGUUGAUGGCAGAGAGAAAACGUGAAAUCAGUUUUGCUAUGCAAUGUCUAAGAGAAAAAGGUAAAGGAGUUACUUAUUUUUCUUUCCAAUUUCUGAAGAUGGUAAUUAGGAGAACUCACACCAGCCAGGCUCCAGUGCAUGCAAGCAAGACCCCUAUAGGCUGCACCAUGUAUUCAUGGAAAAAUAUGCUUAGACAACAUAACUUGUCAGAGAGGAUUAUUUCUACUUAGUGGAUCUGCAGGAACCCCUUUGCUCUACCAUUCAGAAUUUGACUGGAGAAGAGAGUGGGGAAAGAGGAAGAGAGAGAGAGAGAGAGAGGGAGAGAGAGGGAGAGGGGGAGAGGGGAGAGAGGGGGAGCGCGCAUUAGUGAACAGCUACCGUGGCAUUGAUGUUGGAGCGCACUUCUGAACUGGCUUUUGUUGAGACUAUCAGUGUAUCUGUGCAGAAAGCAUGCGCUGUCCCAAAUCCGCUGUUACUAUGAGAAAUGAGGAACUGCUUUUAAGGUAUGUUGUUGUGUUCUUUGUUUGAAUGCCUUGCUAGUUUC